UACGUAGGGGGCUAGCGUUGUCCGGAUUUAUUGGGCGUAAAGAGCGUGUAGGCGGCCAUGUAGGUCCGGUGUGAAAACUCGAGGCUUAACCUCGAGAUGUCAUCGGAAACCAUUUGGCUAGAGUCCGGAAGAGGAGAGUGGAAUUCCUGGUGUAGCGGUGAAAUGCGCAGAUAUCAGGAAGAACACCAAUGGCGAAAGCAGCUCUCUGGGACGGUGCUGACGCUGAGACACGAAAGCGUGGGGAGCGAACAGG
rnacentral:rRNA from 1 species